GAUGAACGCUGGCGAUAGGCUUAACACAUGCAAGUCGAGGGGCAGCAUGGUCUUAGCUUGCUAAGACUGAUGGCGACCGGCGCACGGGUGCGUAACGCGUAUGCAACUUGCCUCACAGAGGGGGAUAACCCGUCGAAAGACGGACUAAUACCGCGUACACUUGGGAUAGGGCAUCCUGACCCAAGGAAAUGAAAUUCGCUGUGAGAUAGGCAUGCGUCCCAUUAGCUAGUUGGUGAGGUAACGGCUCACCAAGGCGACGAUGGGUAGGGGAACUGAGAGGUUGAACCCCCACACUGGUACUGAGACACGGACCAGACUCCUACGGGAGGCAGCAGUGAGGAAUAUUGGUCAAUGGGCGAGAGCCUGAACCAGCCAAGUCGCGUGAAGGAUGACUGUCUUAUGGAUUGUAAACUUCUUUUAUACGGGAAUAACAAGAGCCACGUGUGGCUCCCUGCAUGUACCGUAUGAAUAAGCAUCGGCUAACUCCGUG
rnacentral:rRNA from 1 species